UACGUAGGUGGCAAGCGUUGUCCGGAUUUACUGGGCGUAAAGAGCGCGCAGGCGGUCGUUCAAGUCGCGUGUGAAAGCCCCCGGCUCAACUGGGGAGGGUCACGCGAUACUGAUCGACUCGAAGGCAGGAGAGGGUAGUGGAAUUCCCGGUGUAGUGGUGAAAUGCGUAGAGAUGUGGAGGAACACCGAUGGCGAAGGCAGCCUCCUGGGCCAACACUGACGCUCAUGCACGAAAGCGUGGGGAGCAAACAGG
rnacentral:rRNA from 1 species